rnacentral:rRNA from 1 species
UAGUCCACGCCGUAAACGGUGGGCGCUAGUCGUGCGAACCUUCCACGGUUUGUGCGACGCAGCUAACGCAUUAAGCGCCCCGCCUGGGGAGUACGAUCGCAAGAUUAAAACUCAAAGGAAUUGACGGGGCCCCGCACAAGCAGCGGAGCAUGCGGCUUAAUUCGACGCAACGCGAAGAACCUUACCAAGGCUUGACAUAUACAGGAAUAUGGCAGAGAUGUCAUAGCCGCAAGGUCUGUAUACAGGUGGUGCAUGGUUGUCGUCAGCUCGUGUCGUGAGAUGUUGGGUUAAGUCCCGCAACGAGCGCAACCCUCGUUCUGUGUUGCCAGCAUUAAGUUGGGGACUCACAGGAGACUGCCGGGGUUAACUCGGAGGAAGGUGGGGAUGACGUCAAAUCAUCAUGCCCCUUAUGUCUUGGGCUGCACGCAUGCUACAAUGGCUGGUACAAACGGCUGCGAUACCGCAAGGUGGAGCGAAUCCGAUAAAGCCAGUCUCAGUUCGGAUUGGGGUCUGCAACUCGACCCCAUGAAGUCGGAGUUGCUAGUAAUCGUAGAUCAGCAACGCUACGGUGAAUACGUUCCCGGGGCUUGUACACACCGCCCGUCACAUCACGA